UGUUAGGGGUAUAUACAACUUGGCUACUCCUGGAACUUUUUGGAUGUUUUUUAUCACCAAGGAAUCAGUUUUUGAUUCAAGGCCACAAUGCGAUUCUUCACUAAGGAAAGACUUUUCCAAAUUUGUAAAACCGCUAUUCUCUAUAUAAGAUAGUUUUAUCUCUGAGCAACUUGCUUUGUAAAAUCGUUCACCAAACAUAAUAGGUAUACAAGCAAAUAUUCCAUCAUUCUGAAACUGCUGCGAAAUUUUUGAUUGAAGUAUAUACAGAUGGUUACUAUGCUUGGUAGGAUUCAAUACUUCAAUUUGUUUGUU